AGGGCGCCAUGAGAGUUUUACAAGUUUUACCGGCGCUUUACAAGUUUUUAUUAUUAUUAUUAUUAUUAUUAUUAUUAUUAUUAUUAUUAUUAUUAUUAUUAUUAUUAUUAUUAUUUCUAUUUCACCAGAUAAAAAGCAAAUUGAGUUGAGGCUUUGCUGGUUUAUGAUGAGGUUGUAUCAUUAUGGUAUAUGAACAUCUCGACCAUGACCAUAAUGGUUCCCAAUGAGACUGAAAGAUCCUUCUGUCUUUAAAAACGCCCUGGUGCCGUCCUCCCAAAACAGUGGACACAGAAUUGCUGAAGAAAUUGUUUAACUAUACAGUGUAAUGAUCAAAGAGAAGAUGACGAUCAAUUAUUUGAAGUAAAGGUCAUUUACAAGAUGGAAGGCAGCUGACUCGUGUGGUACAUAAUGCAAGAAUGCCUUUCAUACAUAAUCGAUAAAAGCUAAAAUGGUGCCUGAGUAUCAUUACCAAGCAAGAAGACUGUACAGGCCUUCCUGAUAAAUACACCAAUUCUUGAUGGAUUGCUGAAAACAACAAAGUAAAAGCUGUAAAACAGUAUAUUCAGUGAACC